ensembl:lncRNA
ACAAAGAGAGAUGGAAGGUGAAAAAAAGAGCCCUGAGUGAAUGGCAGAUAUAUCUUAAACAUUGUUAUUUAUGAUCAGUAAGUACACCGUUGCCAAAUUCAAGCUGAACUGAAGAAGCCAAAUUUUGCACACAAUAAAUACUAUGCGAUGUUCUGUUAUUUAUAAAACUAGUUAUACGUACAGUUAAUAUUUACUGAAUACCAAAUUCCUUUCUAGUUUGCUCUGUGUAUUUGGAAGAUACAAAAAAUCUUUUCUGCAUCUGGCUGAAAGAAGUUGUAAGAUCUUUACAAAUCAGAGCAUAUUAUUAACAUUCAAAUUAAAAAAUAUUGUCAUGAAUUUUUUGCCAUUUACAUAGGGAGUUCCAGCUCAGCUGAAGACCUGCAUCAAAAUACUUUGGGACUUUCAUUCCUGCAUGCCUGUUUGAUGUUUUGGUGCUCCUAUGGUUAGUAGAUGCCCUCUUGCUGAACCUGGGGAAGAACAUGUGAGUGACAGUGGCAACAGUCAUACAACCAGGUGAUACAAUCUGCUGGCCACAAAACAGCAAACCUGGCUAUGUAGAGUAGACAGGUAAAUUAAAAAAGCUUGAAUUGAGGAAGGGCUGUUUCUGUUAUAUCAAUUCUAACAAUAGGUUUAAACAUCAUCUGGAUAGGGAUUUGCUUUUUAGGUGCCUUUAAUCGAUGCUGAAUUUGAAAAGUAAAUGUGUAAUGUCGAAAAUUGUCCAGUUCAUAACAAUAGUGAGAUAAGGAUGUAAUUCUUAUCAAAGUACCCAUUGGUCUCUCUAACCAUCACCACUGCACAAGAGAAGAGAUCACACCUCAGUAAUGGAAAAGGUGCACCAAACAAAUGAAUCGCUCCUCUUUCAAUGUUAUUUUAAGCUAUGUUCCUUCUUCCAGGUUUUGGGGAACGUAGACAACAGGAAUCAAAUCAUUCAAAGAGUUCAUUGUCUGAUCAUCCAUUUGAAGAAAGCUUCAACAUUUUUUACGUGCUGGAAGAUACAGUACAACGUUGGAUGAUUUGGAUUUUGCUGGUAUCACUUAUACUUGACACCUGACUCUGAAUAAGAUAUCCCAAGAGAAGCUCAGCUACCAAACAAAAUAAAAUGCUCAAGUCUCAUAUUGCAAAUUCUUGAAUGAUGUUGGUUCUGUUUCAACCUGGAAAAUUGUAGCACAGUUCCAAACCAGAGCACUUCCUUCUGGAGCUCUGCCUGCCAUCAUGCAGCAGAGCAGAGACCCCCACGGUUCUGUCAUGGGGCAUUUUGUUCUUGCAGCUCCAGCUUUACCCAUGAGUGGAGGCCAUGAAUGAUACUGUUCCUUGGAAAUGUCUUCUUUCUCGGUCAGCAUACUGCAAUUGUUUUGUUAAAAUCAGUAAGUAAACAUCCUGGUCAAAUUCCAGUUCAGAUAACAGCACUCUGCUUACAGAGUUCCUGCAGUUUCAAAUAAAUGGCAUACUUAUGUCUGUUACCCUGUUCUGUGGUAUUGGAUGGUGGUGGUAAGCAGCUGGUAUGUUGUGGCUCAGAGGUGAUCUCAGCUAACUCAGGCAUAAGGUGGAUCCCCUUUGCUUUUCAUUAUUACUUUAAAAUUGAGACAUGUUGAUGAUGGUAAAGUUGCUGAAGUGUCAAACAUUUAUCUCUUUUUUCUUCUUCCUGUACAUCUUGUUCUAACUAUUGCAGAGAUAAAAAUGGUGUCUGAUUUUUAAAAUGAUACAAAUGUAAGUUUUACUCCUUGCCUUCUUCUUAGGCCAUGUCUUAAAUACAUUGAUCUCUCGGAU